rnacentral:rRNA from 1 species
UACGUAGGGUGCGAGCGUUGCCCGGAUUUAUUGGGCGUAAAGGGCGCGUAGGCGGUCACGCACGUCCGUUGUGAAAUCGCUCGGCUCAACUGGGCGGGGUCAGCGGAUACGGCGUGGCUGGAGCAAGCUAGGGGGCAAUGGAAUUCCCGGUGUAGUGGUGGAAUGCGUAGAGAUCCGGAAGAACACCAGUGGCGAAGGCGGUCUGCUGGGCAGUUGCUGACACUGAGGCGCGACAGCGUGGGGAGCAAACAGG